rnacentral:rRNA from 1 species
GCGUUAUCCGGAUUUAUCGGGUUUAAAGGGAGCGUAGGCCGGAGGGUAAGCGUGUUGUGAAAUGCAGUUGCUCAACAUCUGCACUGCAGCGCGAACUGUUCUCCUUGAGUGCGCAGGAAGUAGGCGGAAUUCGUCGUGUAGCGGUGAAAUGCUUAGAUAUGACGAAGAACUCCGAUUGGGAAGCCAGCUUACUGUAGCGCCACUGACGCUGAUGCUCGAAAGUGCGGGUAUCGAACAGGAUUAGAUACCCUGGUAGUCCGCACGGUAAACGAUGGAUGCUCGCUGUGUGCAUUCGUGUACGCGGCCAAGGGAAACCAUUAAGCAUCCCACCUGGGGAGUACGCCGGCAACGGUGAAACUCAAAGGAAUUGACGGGGGCCCGCACAAGCGGAGGAACAUGUGGUUUAAUUCGAUGAUACGCGAGGAACCUUACCCGGGCUUGAAUUGCAGGGGAAGGAAUUGGAGACAAUGACGCCCUUCGGGGUCUCUGUGAAGGUGCUGCAUGGUUGUCGUCAGCUCGUGCCGUGAGGUGUCGGCUUAAGUGCCAUAACGAGCGCAACCCCUUUCAUUAGUUGCCAUCAGGUAAUGCUGGGCACUCUGGUGAUACUGCCACCGUAAGGUGUGAGGAAGGUGGGGAUGACGUCAAAUCAGCACGGCCCUUACGUCCGGGGCUACACACGUGUUACAAUGGCGCAUACAGAGAGUUGGUCUGCGGCAACACAGGUCUAAUCAAUAAAAUGCGUCGUAGUUCGGACUGGGGUCUGCAACCCGACCCCACGAAGCUGGAUUC